UACGGCCGUAUCACAUUGAAACAUCGGUUCCCAUACUGUCACCGAAGUUAAGCAACGUCGAGCUUGGUCAGUACCUACGUGGGUGACUACUUGGGAAUAUCAGGU